AGCGAACGUUAGCGGCGGGCCUAACACAUGCAAGUCGAGCGAGAAAAGGGCUUCGGCCCUUAGUAAAGCGGCGGACGGGUGAGUAACACGUAGGUAAUCUUCCCUUGAGCGGGGGACAACGUUCCGAAAGGGACGCUAAUACCGCAUAAGUUUCCAGAGGCCCCGGCCUUUGGAAGGAAAGCUAGGCCGCAAGGUCCGGCACUCGAGGAGGAGCCUGCGUCGCAUCAGCUAGUUGGUGGGGUAAUGGCCUACCAAGGCGAAGACGCGUAGCUGGUCUGAGAGGAUGAUCAGCCACACUGGGACUGAGACACGGCCCAGACUCCUACGGGAGGCAG
rnacentral:rRNA from 1 species